rnacentral:rRNA from 1 species
UACGUAGGCAGCGAGCGUUGUUCGGAGUUACUGGGCGUAAAGAGUGCGUAGGCGGUUUUCUAAGUUUGGUGUGAAAUCUCCCGGCUUAACUGGGAGGGUGCGCCGAAAACUGGAAGGCUUGAGUAUGGGAGAGGUAAGCGGAAUUCCUGGUGUAGCGGUGAAAUACGUAGAGAUUGGGAAGAACACCAGUGGCGAAGGCGGCUAUCUGGACGGUUUCUGACGCUAAGACGCGAAAGCGUGGGGAGCAAACAGG